CUACGGGCCGCUGCAGCGGGGGAUAUUGCACAAUGGGCGAAAGCCUGAUGCAGCAACGCCGCGUGAAGGAAGACGGAUUUCGGUCUGUAAACUUCUAUCAGCUGGGAAGAAAAUGACGGUACCAGACUAAGAAGCCCCGGCUAACUACGUGCCAGCAGCCGCGGUAAUACGUAGGGGGCAAGCGUUAUCCGGAUUUACUGGGUGUAAAGGGUACGUAGGCGGUCGCUUAAGUCAGAUGUGAAAGCCCGAAGCUCAACUUCGGGACUGCAUUUGAAACUGGGUGACUAGAGUACAGGAGAGGAAAGCGGAAUUCCUAGUGUAGCGGUGAAAUGCGUAGAUAUUAGGAAGAACACCAGUGGCGAAGGCGGCUUUCUGGACUGUAACUGACGCUGAGGUACGAAAGCGUGGGGAGCGAACAGGAUUAGAUACCCGCGUAGUC
rnacentral:rRNA from 1 species